GCAUCGGUGGUUCAGUUAGAAUCAUCAGCUAGAAUGCUCGCCUGCCACACGGGCAGCCCGGGUUCGAUUCCCGGCCGAUGCA
rnacentral:tRNA from 1 species